rnacentral:misc_RNA from 1 species
GAUGAAGAACGCAGCGAAAUGCGAUACGUAAUGUGAAUUGCAGAACUCAGUGAAUCAUCGAAUCUUUGAACGCAUAUUGCGCUCUCUGGUAUUCCGGAGAGCAUGCUUGUUUGAGUAUCAGUAAACACCUCAACUUCCAUAUCUUUUUUGAAAUGGGAGUUGGACUUGAGUGAUCCCAACGCUUUUCCUCACCGAAAAGUGGCGGGUUACUUGAAAUGCAGGUGCAGCUGGACUUUUCUCUGAGCUAUAAGCAUAUCUAUUUAGUCUGCCUAAAAAACAGAUUAUUACCUUUGCUGCAGCUAACAUAAAGGAGAUUAGUUCUUGUGCUGACUGAUGCAGGAUUCACAAAGACAGGCUUCGGCCGACUUUGUAAACUCGAUCUCAAAUCAAGUAAGACUACCCGCUGAACUUAAGCAUAUCAAUAAGCGGAGGA